GGGCCCAUAGCUCAGUGGUAGAGCAGGUGACUCAUAAUCACUUGGUCGGAGGUUCGAAACCUUCUGGGCCCA
rnacentral:tRNA from 1 species